AUGGAGGUUAUGUCAGGUUAUUCACAGAUGAUGCCAUCUUUGAUUUUUUAGUUAUAUCUUGUCUUGGCUGUUUUUUAUUAAUCUUAAUCACUUUGCUAAUUAUUUUUAUAUUUGUGUUGAUAUUAUUGUAUUUAAUAUUCCCUCAAAGAUGUAUAAAUGAGGAUAAACUUACCAGAGGAAGACAUUUUGUUAUCCACUUUGAUUUUAAAGCUGUUUGUUAAACCCUUAAAUUGAACUGUAACAAUAUUCCAGUAAAGUUUUCACCAACAUUUUAUUACAACACAAAGACAAGCUGAAAAUGGAAACCAAAAUUAAACUUGAAAAUAUUCUUUGGAUAUUUGGACAACAAUUUAAAUAUCACAUAGAUUGGAAUUGUUAUGCUGAUGGCUGAUAUCGUUGAUUUGGGAAAAUAUCACAAAGUUGAAUUCACACUUGUUGCUGAUGUCUUGGAAGAUGGAGCAAAAAAUAACUGAUUAUCCGUAAAAGUUGGUAAUCAUUUUCAUCCAGUUGUUACAAAAAAUAUCAAAGAUUCCUGGCGAUGGUAGAAAAGGUAAAAGCCAUAUUAAACAUGACGAGACUUGGAAUUGCUGUUAUAACAAGGUUGACUUUGAACUUGAAGUUAUUUGGGAAAACUGGAGAAAGCAAACUCUUGGUGUUUCUGGUGGUGUAACGUUGUAAAGUUGAAAUUAAACUGCGUGGUUCAAACAAACAAUCAGUUCGAGGUUGAUUAUUACAGGAUCUAAAUGGUUUCGAUGUUGUCACUGUUGUUUAGUUGAAAAAAAGAAGACAAGCAAAAUAAGAAUGUUCAACAUUUUUCAGGAAGGGAAUAUACCUUGAAGGCGGAACAAGAAAAUACCAAGAAAGCUGGAAAAAAAGAGAUGAUGAUAGAGAAGGAAAAGAAGAUAAGAAAGUUGUCGAAAGGCAGAUAGACAGGAAAAAAAGUAGAGAGUGUUAAAAUCCAGUCUAAGGUCAUUCACAUCGGGUCCACUCACACGUCACUCACAUGGUAUAUUUAAAGGAGCAAAGGAAACCUCAUCAUCAACUCAUCUAUCCAUUGUCAAAAAUAUAAUAUUGUUUUGUUGUUUUGUCCGAUUCUUGCUUCUAAUUGUUAAUUAGACAUCAAACACCUGAUAGUUAACACUAUAACCAGAUAUAUAUUGAUGGGUGUAUAGUUAAUUGACAAUUAGUAAAUUAUAGCAAGUCUCAAGGUCCCGAUUGUUGUUGUUUUGCUGUUACUUUCUGCCAAUCUCUCAUGCAUUGAACCAAAGUUACUUGCUGCACCAAAUUUGGUUGUUGGGUUAAACUGUAAAGCAAAAUCCAUCAAAUCAAAUUGUGCAAUGUAACCAGUAGACACUUAGUCCUGUUAGUCUAGCAAUUUAAUCAUAAAUUUGAAUAUAUUCAUUAAUCAUUCAACAGCGAUCAACUAGAAUUUUGCAAAAAAGUUGUUUACUUUCACAAAAAAAACAAUUUCUGAUUGCUUGGCAAAAGUACUCUAAAUGUAUCAAUCUAGACUCGAAAAAGAUUAUCUGUCACAAAUUGUAACAAAUACAUGGAUUUGAACAUUGAUAAUAAUCUUUUCUAUUCUGGUCCUCCAAUGAUUGAUAUUAUUAAUAACAAUAAUCCAUGUUAAUUACAAUUUCGUGUAACAUAAGAAUGGUCAUUUUUCAAGCCUAAGAAUUGCAAUUUUAAAGAUUGCAAUUUUUCUCAUUUCAUUCCUUCUUUACCUUCUUCUUGUUCAUCAUUUUUUAAGUUACAUGUUUACUUUUUCUCUUUCUCUUUCCUUUUUCUCCUUCUCCUUCUUACCUCUUCAACCUUAGUUCAAUUUCUUGUUCAGCCCAUCAUCUUACCUGAGCUCAUCUUCCGCAACAUCUAAAGACCAGGCCAACAAGAAAAUAAUGAUAAUAAUAAUGAAAAGAUGCUGAGUCUUUCACUGUUGUUUAUACAUUGAAUCCAAUGAAAGUCAUCAUUGUGGCCAGAAAAAGAAGACCGGUUUUUUGAGCAAUAAAACGUGGUUACCGUCAUGCUGACCUUUUCCAGUUAACUUACACAAGUUCAUCGUUAUCCAAAAUAUUUCUCACUCUCGCCAUGUUUUCCUUCUCUCUCUUUUUCUCUCUCCAUCAUCAUCAUCAUUUUUGUUGCUAUUCAAACCCUAAGGAAGAGAGUAGAGACAAUUUUUCAAUUAUUAUUACUUUCGAUUACAUUUUUCUUGUUGUUUUGGGCUUUUCAAGAUCAUGAUGGUCAAUUUAUACAAUACACAGAUGAAAUGCUGAAUUGAACAAGAAAAAAGGGCAAAAAAAACCAACAGCCAUGUUAAUUAAAAGGUUGAAUAAUGAUGAUAAGCCUUUUAUUGCUCCAUUAUCUAAUAUUAAAUUGUUAUGUUAAUUAUUGAAAUAAUGAAUCCAUCUGUUGAAUAAUUUGGCAGUAAACAUUAUUGAAUUGUUAAUACAACUCCAAUCCCUUGUUAAAAGCCAAUCCAAAGCCAGCGACCAACAAAUUAUCAAAUUACAAAAGCAUUUCCUUGUUUACAUUGAUUUGCAAAAUGAUUUACAGCUAUUGUUAUUCAAUUGUUAAACACUUUAAAUACUAGUCUUCAACAAUUAA